GGGUUGUGAGGUUAAGCGACUAAGCGUACACGGUGGAUGCCCUGGCAGUCAGAGGCGAUGAAGGACGUGCUAAUCUGCGAUAAGCGUCGGUAAGGUGAUAUGAACCGUUAUAACCGGCGAUUUCCGAAUGGGGAAACCCAGUGUGAUUCGUCACACUAUCAUUAACUGAAUCCAUAGGUUAAUGAGGCGAACCGGGGGAACUGAAACAUCUAAGUACCCCGAGGAAAAGAAAUCAACCGAGAUUCCCCCAGUAGCGGCGAGCGAACGGGGAGCAGCCCAGAGCCUGAAUCAGUGUGUGUGUUAGUGGAAGCGUCUGGAAAGGCGCGCGAUACAGGGUGACAGCCCCGUACACAAAAAUGCACAUACUGUGAGCUCGAUGAGUAGGGCGGGACACGUGGUAUCCUGUCUGAAUAUGGGGGGACCAUCCUCCAAGGCUAAAUACUCCUGACUGACCGAUAGUGAACCAGUACCGUGAGGGAAAGGCGAAAAGAACCCCGGCGAGGGGAGUGAAAAAGAACCUGAAACCGUGUACGUACAAGCAGUGGGAGCACGCUUAGGCGUGUGACUGCGUACCUUUUGUAUAAUGGGUCAGCGACUUAUAUUCUGUAGCAAGGUUAACCGAAUAGGGGAGCCGAAGGGAAACCGAGUCUUAACUGGGCGUUAAGUUGCAGGGUAUAGACCCGAAACCCGGUGAUCUAGCCAUGGGCAGGUUGAAGGUUGGGUAACACUAACUGGAGGACCGAACCGACUAAUGUUGAAAAAUUAGCGGAUGACUUGUGGCUGGGGGUGAAAGGCCAAUCAAACCGGGAGAUAGCUGGUUCUCCCCGAAAGCUAUUUAGGUAGCGCCUCGUGAAUUCAUCUCCGGGGGUAGAGCACUGUUUCGGCAAGGGGGUCAUCCCGACUUACCAACCCGAUGCAAACUGCGAAUACCGGAGAAUGUUAUCACGGGAGACACACGGCGGGUGCUAACGUCCGUCGUGAAGAGGGAAACAACCCAGACCGCCAGCUAAGGUCCCAAAGUCAUGGUUAAGUGGGAAACGAUGUGGGAAGGCCCAGACAGCCAGGAUGUUGGCUUAGAAGCAGCCAUCAUUUAAAGAAAGCGUAAUAGCUCACUGGUCGAGUCGGCCUGCGCGGAAGAUGUAACGGGGCUAAACCAUGCACCGAAGCUGCGGCAGCGACGCUUAUGCGUUGUUGGGUAGGGGAGCGUUCUGUAAGCCUGCGAAGGUGUGCUGUGAGGCAUGCUGGAGGUAUCAGAAGUGCGAAUGCUGACAUAAGUAACGAUAAAGCGGGUGAAAAGCCCGCUCGCCGGAAGACCAAGGGUUCCUGUCCAACGUUAAUCGGGGCAGGGUGAGUCGACCCCUAAGGCGAGGCCGAAAGGCGUAGUCGAUGGGAAACAGGUUAAUAUUCCUGUACUUGGUGUUACUGCGAAGGGGGGACGGAGAAGGCUAUGUUGGCCGGGCGACGGUUGUCCCGGUUUAAGCGUGUAGGCUGGUUUUCCAGGCAAAUCCGGAAAAUCAAGGCUGAGGCGUGAUGACGAGGCACUACGGUGCUGAAGCAACAAAUGCCCUGCUUCCAGGAAAAGCCUCUAAGCAUCAGGUAACAUCAAAUCGUACCCCAAACCGACACAGGUGGUCAGGUAGAGAAUACCAAGGCGCUUGAGAGAACUCGGGUGAAGGAACUAGGCAAAAUGGUGCCGUAACUUCGGGAGAAGGCACGCUGAUAUGUAGGUGAAGUCCCUCGCGGAUGGAGCUGAAAUCAGUCGAAGAUACCAGCUGGCUGCAACUGUUUAUUAAAAACACAGCACUGUGCAAACACGAAAGUGGACGUAUACGGUGUGACGCCUGCCCGGUGCCGGAAGGUUAAUUGAUGGGGUUAGCGCAAGCGAAGCUCUUGAUCGAAGCCCCGGUAAACGGCGGCCGUAACUAUAACGGUCCUAAGGUAGCGAAAUUCCUUGUCGGGUAAGUUCCGACCUGCACGAAUGGCGUAAUGAUGGCCAGGCUGUCUCCACCCGAGACUCAGUGAAAUUGAACUCGCUGUGAAGAUGCAGUGUACCCGCGGCAAGACGGAAAGACCCCGUGAACCUUUACUAUAGCUUGACACUGAACAUUGAGCCUUGAUGUGUAGGAUAGGUGGGAGGCUUUGAAGUGUGGACGCCAGUCUGCAUGGAGCCGACCUUGAAAUACCACCCUUUAAUGUUUGAUGUUCUAACGUUGACCCGUAAUCCGGGUUGCGGACAGUGUCUGGUGGGUAGUUUGACUGGGGCGGUCUCCUCCUAAAGAGUAACGGAGGAGCACGAAGGUUGGCUAAUCCUGGUCGGACAUCAGGAGGUUAGUGCAAUGGCAUAAGCCAGCUUGACUGCGAGCGUGACGGCGCGAGCAGGUGCGAAAGCAGGUCAUAGUGAUCCGGUGGUUCUGAAUGGAAGGGCCAUCGCUCAACGGAUAAAAGGUACUCCGGGGAUAACAGGCUGAUACCGCCCAAGAGUUCAUAUCGACGGCGGUGUUUGGCACCUCGAUGUCGGCUCAUCACAUCCUGGGGCUGAAGUAGGUCCCAAGGGUAUGGCUGUUCGCCAUUUAAAGUGGUACGCGAGCUGGGUUUAGAACGUCGUGAGACAGUUCGGUCCCUAUCUGCCGUGGGCGCUGGAGAAUUGAGGGGGGCUGCUCCUAGUACGAGAGGACCGGAGUGGACGCAUCACUGGUGUUCGGGUUGUCAUGCCAAUGGCACUGCCCGGUAGCUAAAUGCGGAAGAGAUAAGUGCUGAAAGCAUCUAAGCACGAAACUUGCCCCGAGAUGAGUUCUCCCUGACUCCUUGAGAGUCCUGAAGGAACGUUGAAGACGACGACGUUGAUAGGCCGGGUGUGUAAGCGCAGCGAUGCGUUGAGCUAACCGGUACUAAUGAACCGUGAGGCUUAACCUUACAACGCCGAAG
rnacentral:rRNA from 1 species